rnacentral:ncRNA from 1 species
AACAUGAUACACGGGAGCUUGCUGUGCGUGGGCUGAGAGGAGAUGCAGACAUCUCGACCGCACCUGAUUUGGAUAAUGCCAACGAAGGGAACGACACACGAUAUUUU